rnacentral:rRNA from 1 species
UACGUAGGGAGCAAGCGUUGUUCGGAAUUAUUGGGCGUAAAGAGCGCGUAGGCGGUUCGGUAAGUCUGACGUGAAAUCCCGGAGCUUAACUCCGGAACUGCGUUGGAUACUGCCGGGCUUGAGUGUGGGAGAGGAGAGUGGAAUUCCCAGUGUAGAGGUGAAAUUCGUAGAUAUUGGGAGGAACACCCGUGGCGAAGGCGGCUCUCUGGACCACAACUGACGCUGAGGCGCGAAAGCUAGGGUAGCAAAC